rnacentral:rRNA from 1 species
AUUGAACGCUGGCGGCAGGCCUAACACAUGCAAGUCGAGCGGAUGAAGGGAGCUUGCUCCUGGAUUCAGCGGCGGACGGGUGAGUAAUGCCUAGGAAUCUGCCUGGUAGUGGGGGAUAACGUCCGGAAACGGGCGCUAAUACCGCAUACGUCCUGAGGGAGAAAGUGGGGGAUCUUCGGACCUCACGCUAUCAGAUGAGCCUAGGUCGGAUUAGCUAGUUGGUGGGGUAAAGGCCUACCAAGGCGACGAUCCGUAACUGGUCUGAGAGGAUGAUCAGUCACACUGGAACUGAGACACGGUCCAGACUCCUACGGGAGGCAGCAGUGGGGAAUAUUGGACAAUGGGCGAAAGCCUGAUCCAGCCACGCCGCGUGUGUGAAGAAGGUCUUCGGAUUGUAAAGCACUUUAAGUUGGGAGGAAGGGCAGUAAGUUAAUACCUUGCUGUUUUGACGGUACCAACAGAAUAAGCACCGGCUAACUUCGUG